rnacentral:tRNA from 1 species
CCUUUCGUGGCCUAGUGGUCAGAGCAUUGGCGUGUAAAGCUAAAGAUACCGGGUUCGAUUCCCGGCUAGGGUG